rnacentral:tRNA from 1 species
GUCUUUGUGGUGUAGUGGUCAGCACGCUCGACGUGCAUUCAAGAGGUCCGUAGUUCGAGUCCCAUGCGAGGGCA